GAUGAAGAACGUAGCGAAAUGCGAUACUUGGUGUGAAUUGCAGAAUCCCGUGAACCAUCGAGUCUUUGAACGCAAGUUGCGCCCGAAGCCAUUAGGCCGAGGGCACGCCUGCCUGGGCGUCACACGUCGUUGCCCCCCCAUCUACUCCUUCGGGAUUGCGGGGGGCGGAUGAUGGCCUCCCGUGCGCCUCGCCGCGCGGUUGGCAUAAAUGCCAAGUCCUCGGCGACGCACGCCACGACAAUCGGUGGUUGCGAAACCUCGGUUGCCGUCGUGUGCGGUCGUCGCGCAUCGAGGGCUCGAAAAAAUUGCCGGGUUCCGGCUCGGCUUUCAACGCGACCCCAGGUCAGGCGGGGUUACCCGCUGAAUUUAAGCAUAUCAAUAAGCGGAGGA
rnacentral:misc_RNA from 1 species